rnacentral:rRNA from 1 species
UACGUAGGGUGCGAGCGUUGUCCGGAAUUAUUGGGCGUAAAGAGCUCGUAGGCGGUGUGUCACGUCGGCCGUGAAAACCUGCAGCUUAACUGUGGGCGUGCGGUCGAUACGGGCAUCACUGGAGUUCGGCAGGGGAGACUGGAAUUCCUGGUGUAGCGGUGAAAUGCGCAGAUAUCAGGAGGAACACCGGUGGCGAAGGCGGGUCUCUGGACCGAUACUGACGCUGAGGAGCGAAAGCGUGGGGAGCAAACAGG